UACGUAGGCAGCAAGCGUUGUUCGGAGUUACUGGGCGUAAAGAGCUCGUAGGCGGUUUGGUGAGUCGGGUGUGAAAUCUCCACGCUCAACGUGGAGGGGCCACCCGAUACUGCCAUGACUAGAGUCCGGUAGGGGAGUGUGGAAUUCCCGGUGUAGCGGUGAAAUGCGCAGAUAUCGGGAAGAACACCCGUGGCGAAGGCGGCUCUCUGGGACGGUACUGACGCUGAGACGCGAAAGCGUGGGGAGCGAACAGG
rnacentral:rRNA from 1 species